GAUGAUGAUAAUCUGGGGGGCACAGGUGAAUGGGCUUACAGAAUGGAUGGUCUUACCAACUAAACGAGUGCCAUGGGUACAUUGGAGAUGUUCUCAUGUCCCACUUACAGGUGAUUUGUGAUGCAUCUCCACAUCAACCUUAGAUCUGAUUCUCAUAAAGUGGAGUUAGGUUCCACUUCUGGGGAGUUCAAUCUACGGUCUCUCUGUUUUGAAUCUAUGGUUUUUACUUGAUUCUGAUUUUAUUUUUUUCUUUUUGUUUUCUUUCCCAUUUCUAACACCUUCAAAUUUGGACUACUCACCAUUUACUUUUGACCAUCUACUUGAUAGCCAUCAAUCGGAUAGUAAGGAUUGCUUGAUCAGUGUGAUUUUUAAGAUGCUCCACCCAUAAUGAGUUAUGAGACCCACAAUUUUGAUGAUCUAUAUAGCUGCACAUCAGAUGUUUUUGGGUUAGAUUCGGGCAGUUUUGGAUAUUCUAUUUAUGUGAUUUUAGUGUUGCAGCAGGUAAUUAGAUUUGGGCAGUUUUGGAUAUUCUAUUUAUGUGAUUUUAGUGUUGCAGCAGGUAAUUAGAUUUGGACAGUUUUGGAUAUUCUAUUUAUGUGAUUUUAGUGUUGCAGCAGGUAAUUAGAUUGUUUUGGGGGUAUCAUCAGUGUGCCUUUGUUAUUGACCCAGAAGAUAUUGACAAUGGCUUCAAUGGACUGGUUUUGCAUCUUUCAACGGACAAUGUCCUGGCUUAUUGUCUAUUCAAGCUUCUAAAUGAGGUGGGUGAGAUUAUGUUAUCCAUUACCAAAACAUCCGUUGGACGAUCCAUGCAUUUUCUUUUGUGACAAAAGAUUAUGUAGACAGUGGGGUGUGUACUAACAGGCUAACCCAAAACAUCUUCCUUCUUCCUUCUUCUUCAUUCAUUUUUUUGUUUUUUUGCUUUCUUUUUUGGUUUUGUGCUGUGUGCGUGCGCGUGCACGUGCACACGUGUCAAGAUGUACAUUAGCCAAUAUGUGCACAAUGCAUACUGGUUUCGACUGAUACUUUACACCUUGCUGACAUAUGAGAUUGAGGGGAUGGAAUCAUUAAUUGAAGUGAAGUAAGCCAAAGAUCUUAAAUCAACAAUGUAGUGAAUGCAUCCACCAGAGUUGCAUAGUUAACAGAAGCUUUGUGUUAUCUAUUAUUUUUAUACGUAAUUGAGCUCAAGUGUGGUAUGGGUAUGGGUUAGGAAAUGCUUUGUUGACUGAGAUUGAAUGCAUGAUAACUAAGAUCUUAGCAUGCCUAACCAGAUACUCAUUCUGGUUUUGUUUUCUUUACAUGCUUCUUUCUUGUGUUGCAGGCACGAUUGUUCCAAUGCUUGAAGCUGUGAUAGCUGCUGUCCAUGUUGAGAAGCUUGCUGUACAAUUCCAUGACACAUAUGGACAGUCUCUUUCAAAUAUUCUCAUUUCCAUCCAAAAAUGCAUGGAGAGCAAAAUUGUGACUAUAAUAUUUAUAUAUCAACAUCAAGCUUAGAAGUUCCUGCACCUUUUCUCUUUCAUAAGGUAAAGUCUGCUACUGAACUUGCUUCAAGAGGCCUUCUAGUGGAUGAAGUUGAAGCAAUGGCUGUUGUAGGCCUUCUACAGUUUGUUGAUAUCUUGCAAUCUAGCAUGAAAUCAGCACUCAAGGAAGACCUUUACUGGUGUGCUGCAACCCUUUCCUUUUUCAACAAACAGAAAAAGAAUGCUGUAGCUCAGUGAAAGCGCACUAGACCAACCGAAAGCACUCAUCUUGAAGAGGAUCGUCGAUAAGCAUAUGAAGGCAUUGGCACCAAGGCAUUUGGAGACCAAGUUCAUCAAGAUGGAUGCUGAGCUAUUUGGAGUUAGCUUCAACUUUAUCAUCAUCGUCAUCAUCAGCAUCGCCUUGUUUCAGCUAUUUGGAUCAGCAUUAUAAAUCUUACUCAGCCAGAAAAAUCGAAACAGGGGAGCUUUACAAUUGGAUGUUGCAGGGCUAGGCUGCAUUAGAAGAAAAGGCUGAUCCAAUUGGCCUGAAGCAUUUCUGUAAGGGCUGGGAAGUGGAUGAUGCCCUCAGAUUCCAAUGAUCUCUCCUACCUUGCAGAAGCAUCAUAAUCCAUGGUUGAACUUCCACUGUGUAAGACCUUUUGAAUUU